rnacentral:rRNA from 1 species
UGCCAGCCGCCGCGGUAAUACAGAGGGUGUAAGCGUUACUCGGAAUUACUGGGCGUAAAGCGUGCGUAGGUGGUUCGUUAAGUCUGAUGUGAAAGCCCUGGGCUCAACCUGGGAAUUGCACUGGAUACUGGCGGGCUAGAGUGCGGUAGAGGGUGGCGGAAUUCCCGGUGUAGCAGUGAAAUGCGUAGAUAUCAGGAGGAAUACCGAUGGCGAAGGCAGGUCUCUGGGCUGACACUGACGCUCAUGCACGAAAGCGUGGGGAGCAAACAGGAUUAGAUACCCUGGUAGUCCACG